UUUCAAAUGUUAUUAUUGGGCUGCACAAAUACAUAAGCACCACUGUUGCUUCCAUGCACAAAAGAAAGCUCUCUGAGAGAAAUUUGACUUCAAGAAAGGAAAUUGCCUCCAAGGAAGAACAAAAAGAAACCAAUGCCUCUCCAAAGGCUAUCACGAGGCUAGAUUGCUAACCCUCGUUAGCAAACAAGAGACCAGAAUCUGAAAACUUGCUGCAUCCUUCAGCUGCAGCCAGAAACAAGAAGAUGAUGUUCCCAACUACACAGAUUUAAGUCAAGACAAAGAGGAGAGAGAGGUGCAACAAGGACCAGCACAC
ensembl:lincRNA